AGUCGAGCGAACAGACGAGGAGCUUGCUCCUCUGACGUUAGCGGCGGACGGGUGAGUAACACGUGGAUAACCUACCUAUAAGACUGGGAUAACUUCGGGAAACCGGAGCUAAUACCGGAUAAUAUAUUGAACCGCAUGGUUCAAUAGUGAAAGACGGUUUUGCUGUCACUUAUAGAUGGAUCCGCGCCGCAUUAGCUAGUUGGUAAGGUAACGGCUUACCAAGGCAACGAUGCGUAGCCGACCUGAGAGGGUGAUCGGCCACACUGGAACUGAGACACGGUCCAGACUCCUACGGGAGGCAGCAGUAGGGAAUCUUCCGCAAUGGGCGAAAGCCUGACGGAGCAACGCCGCGUGAAUGAUGAAGGUCUUCGGAUCGUAAAACUCUGUUAUUAGGGAAGAACAAAUGUGUAAGUAACUAUGCACGUCUUGACGGUACCUAAUCAGAAAGCCACGGCUAACUACGUGCCAGCAGCCGCGGUAAUACGUAGGUGGCAAGCGUUAUCCGGAAUUAUUGGGCGUAAAGCGCGCGUAGGCGGUUUUUUAAGUCUGAUGUGAAAGCCCACGGCUCAACCGUGGAGGGUCAUUGGAAACUGGAAAACUUGAGUG
rnacentral:rRNA from 1 species